UACAGAGGGGGCGAGCGUUGUUCGGAAUUACUGGGCGUAAAGGGCGCGUAGGCGGCUUGGCAAGUGGAAGGUGAAAUCCCUCGGCUUAACCGAGGAACUGCCCUCCAAACUGCUUCGCUUGAGACCGGGAGAGGUGAGUGGAAUUCCCAGUGUAGCGGUGAAAUGCGUAGAUAUUGGGAGGAACACCAGUGGCGAAGGCGGCUCACUGGACCGGUACUGACGCUGAUGCGCGAAAGCGUGGGGAGCAAACGGG
rnacentral:rRNA from 1 species